rnacentral:lncRNA from 1 species
UCCUGGUUUCUUUCACAUGUAGUUUUUUCAUCUGGACUCCGUUUGGACUAUUUUUGGGCUUGUUAGACUUCGUUCAUCAUCCUGGAUCUCACUGUAGGCUCUUUGUAGGUCGAAUCUCGAAACAUCAAAUCUUAAUAUAGAGUUGAUUGGGUAUCAAAAAUAUUGAGUAGAUAAACCUAGCCCUUCAUGCCAAAUGGGCAUGGAAGUAUACUGUGAGUUCCAAUUCUCCUUGGUAGAAGCAAGUCUAGCAUGCUUACUAUUUG